AGACUUCCUGGGUCUGGGUGUCCCUGUGCGGGAUUGGACCUCGGGACUUUCUUGGGGCCGCAUCCAGACCCCUUUACUGCCUGGUGCCUCCAUCUCCGGCUUCUGAGUGUGCUGGGGGCCAACAGCUCACAGCCGCCCCCUUCUCUGAAUAGUUAAUUGUCCUUGGGGAACUGCUGCGCCCGGGAAGUUACCACUCCCCAAACGCCUGGAGCUCAUGGCCGACUGGGGUUGCAGUAUAAAGGCCCAGCUCCUUUGCCUCCAAGAGAGUUGACUCGUGCUAUUCGUGCUCCGAGCUCCUCUGGAAUGAAGUUGAAGGAGUGAGAAUCCAGAAUAAUGAGAGGACAGCCAGCAGGGGAAGGAAGUCCCUGGGAGGCGAGUUGGUCUGUUUGUAUUUUCCUUAUUUUAACAUGCAUUUUGUUAUUGUGUGCUUUUGCUAGGAAAUCACCAAUUUCCUGUGGAUUUCCAGUUUGAUGCAAUAGGUUUCUCUUAUUUGAGUUUUAAUUUUUCCUCUUUCUCUAGUUUUCAACAGAAUUGUCACAAUUACGAACAAAUAUGGGUACCUUAUUGUUAACUAAAAUCCAUAUUUUAUUUGGGUUCCCUUCGUUCUUCCAUUUUGUGUCCUAGGAUCCCAUCCAGGGUAUCCCGUGGCAUUGAGUCAUAAUGUCACUUUAGUAUGUUUUCGGCUUUGACAUUUUCUCACACUGUCCUUCACUCUAUGACCUCAGCAGUGUUGAGGUGGCCUAGUCAGGUAUUUCGUAGAUUGUCCCGCAUUGGGAUUUACUUGGUGUUUUUCUUGUGAUUAAAAUGGGGUCACGGGUUUUGAGGAAGCAGAUCACAGGGGUAAAGUGCUUUCUUGUGACUUUAUAUCGUGGGAACAUACAUCAGGGCAACUUAUCACUGUUCAUGUUAGCUUUGCCCUUCUGGCUCAGGUAGUGUUUGUCAGAUUUUCCCCACUGUGAAGUUACUUUUUCCCUAAGUCUGUACUGUGUGUCUUCUUUAGGAUGAAGCCACUGUGUGGCACCCACACUUCAGGAGAGGGGAGUAUUUUAUUUACCGCUGCUGUGUACUAACAUUUGAAAUUGGGCAGUGUGACCCUCCAACUUUGAAUUUCUUUUGAAAAAUUGUUUUAGCUCUUUGGGGUCUCUAGAAAUUCCGUAUUUUGGCGUUUCACAUUUUGCUCCCCUUCACAUGGAUGUACCCCAGUUUGCUUAUGCAUCCAUCUACUGAAGACAUCCUGAUUCCAUUUAGGUUUAGACAUUAUGAGUAGAGUUUCUGUGCACAAUAGCAUCCUUGCUUUUGUUUGGAUAGAGUUUUACAAAGCAGUUGUGUAAUUAUUGAAGGUGUGAGAAGUUGUGUAAUUAUCUCAAGGUGUGAGACUUGUUUGGCUUUGGAAAAUCCUGCCAAACUGUAUCUCAAGGCCGUCUACGCGUUCCAUCGGCGAUGAAGGAGAGCUGUUGUUCCCCACCCUCCAGUGAUCAGGGUCGUCCUUGUGGGAGGAGGGCUGGCCCUGUGCACAGCUGACAGGAGCCUGGCCUCCUCAGGAACCUCCAAGGAUUUGGCUUCGGGACAGUGCAGGGCUGUAUCCACGUUGAGACGAGCUCGGUUUCCUCAGGACUGGCUGGGAGGUGCCUCCCUGGGAGAAAAAGGUCAUCCAGAACACCCAAGAUGGGACUUCCCUGGUGGUGCAGUGGUUAAGAGUCCACCUGCCAAUGCACGGGACGUGGGUUCGAUCCCUGGUCCAGGAAGAUCCCACAUGCCGUGGG